CGUAGGAAAUUUGAGAGGAGCUGUCCUUAGUACGAGAGGACCGGGAUGGACAUACCUCUGGUGUACCAGUUGUCGUGCCAACGGCAUAGCUGGGUAGCUAUGUAUGGACGGGAUAAGUGCUGAAAGCAUCUAAGCAUGAAGCCCCCCUCGAGAUGAGAUUUCCCAACUUCGGUUAUAAGAUCCCUCAAAGAUGAUGAGGUGAAUAGGUUCGAGGUGGAAGCGUAGCGAUACGUGGAGCUGACGAAUACUAAUCGAUCGAAGACUUAAUCAAU
rnacentral:rRNA from 1 species